rnacentral:rRNA from 1 species
GAUGAACGCUGGCGGCGUGCCUAAUACAUGCAAGUCGAGCGAACAGAUGAGGAGCUUGCUCCUCUGACGUUAGCGGCGGACGGGUGAGUAACACGUGGAUAACCUACCUAUAAGACUGGGAUAACUUCGGGAAACCGGAGCUAAUACCGGAUAAUAUAUUGAACCGCAUGGUUCAAUAGUGAAAGACGGUUUUGCUGUCACUUAUAGAUGGAUCCGCGCCGCAUUAGCUAGUUGGUAAGGUAACGGCUUACCAAGGCAACGAUGCGUAGCCGACCUGAGAGGGUGAUCGGCCACACUGGAACUGAGACACGGUCCAGACUCCUACGGGAGGCAGCAGUAGGGAAUCUUCCGCAAUGGGCGAAAGCCUGACGGAGCAACGCCGCGUGAGUGAUGAAGGUCUUCGGAUCGUAAAACUCUGUAUUAGGGAAGAACAAAUGUGUAAGUAACUAUGCACGUCUUGACGGUACCUAAUCAGAAAGCCACGGCUAACUACGUG